UACAGAGGUCUCAAGCGUUGUUCGGAUUCAUUGGGCGUAAAGGGUGUGUAGGUGGCGCGCUAAGUCGGGUGUGAAAUUUCGGAGCUUAACUCCGAAACUGCAUUCGAUACUGGCGUGCUUGAGGACUGGAGAGGAGACUGGAAUUCAUGGUGUAGCAGUGAAAUGCGUAGAGAUCAUGAGGAAGACCAGUGGCGAAGGCGGGUCUCUGGACAGUUCCUGACGCUGAGGCACGAAGGUCAGGGGAGCAAAAGGG
rnacentral:rRNA from 1 species